rnacentral:rRNA from 1 species
ACGGGAGGCAGCAGUGGGGAAUAUUGCACAAUGGGGGAAACCCUGAUGCAGCGACGCCGCGUGAGUGAAGAAGUAUUUCGGUAUGUAAAGCUCUAUCAGCAGGGAAGAUAAUGACGGUACCUGACUAAGAAGCCCCGGCUAACUACGUGCCAGCAGCCGCGGUAAUACGUAGGGGGCAAGCGUUAUCCGGAUUUACUGGGUGUAAAGGGAGCGUAGGUGGCGUGGCAAGUCAGAAGUGAAAGCCCGGGGCUCAACCCCGGGACUGCUUUUGAAACUGUCAUGCUGGAGUGCAGGAGAGGUAAGUGGAAUUCCUAGUGUAGCGGUGAAAUGCGUAGAUAUUAGGAGGAACACCAGUGGCGAAGGCGGCUUACUGGACGAUAACUGACGUUGAGGCUCGAAAGCGUGGGGAGCAAACAGGAUUAGAUACCCUGGUA